ACGGUCGACUUCCCUGACUCGUUGAGCCCUGACCAGACAAAGGCCAUUGAAGCGGUUUUGCCGAAGCCAAAGGCGGAUCUGAGCGACAUGGAAAUAGACGAAUGCGAGGAGACGACGCUGCACGAAGUGAACAUUGAGGAUGAGAUGAGAAGGAAGGCUCAAGCUCAAAGAGAGGCUUAUGAUGAUGACGAUGAUGAUGAAGAAGGCCCAGGUGGUGCUCAGCGUGUGCAAUGUGCCCAGCAGUGAUAUCAAACAUGCGCACUUGUAGUGAUAUUCAGCACUUGCGUUUUCUUAAACUUAUAUGUAUUAUUUUUGGGUCUUUGCUAUAAGACUUUUGCCCGAUUCUGUUGGAAGAAACUUGUCCUAAUUCAAUUUCUUGUCACAAUGUUGGUAACCCAUUCAGCAAACGCAAACGUAAAACUUGCAAACGGCACACGCUAGCACGAAGAACACAAUCAAGAUUUUGAGAAAACAAUGGUCUGGUAGAAUAAAGAAUGAGCAAUCAAAAUCGAAUAGUGUUGCUGAGUUUGUCGUGGUAAACCAUUGGCGCCACUGUUGCAAUAUAUAUACAUUUCACAAAAGUUAAUUGAAUUAUGUUCUAAAUUUCUAUAUAUACUAGAUGACUAGGUGUUUUGCCCGCACAUGUGGAUCUAAUUUUUUUUGUGAACAUUUAUUAGUUUAUGUUUUAUUAAUUCAAAACCCAAAGUGAUAAUUUUUUAUUUAUAUUUUUUAAAAAAUUAAAUAAAACAUCAAAUUAUUUAUAUAUAACAAAUAUUUUUAUUUAUACAAAUGCUAUUUUAUUAAUAUUUAAUUAUAAAUAAUUUCAUAUCUUAAUUUUCAAUUUUUAUAAUAGAAAAAUAUUAUUUUAAAAUAAUAAUAUAAUAUAUAAGAUAACAACACAAUAUAAUAAAAAUUAUCUUAUUAUAAUAUAUACAGAAAUUAUCUUUUUAUAUGAUAAUUUUUUAUUUAUAUUUUUUAAAAAAUUAAAUAAAACAUCAAAUCUAUACUAUUAUUUGCGGAAUAAAUUUUUGAAAUCGAGCUCUCAUGUUAAAAGUUAGAGUGAUUAAUAUCGUUUAUACUCUUAAUGAAUAAAAUGUAUAAAUAAAUUAAAAAUAAACACAAAAUUUUAAUUGAUUUGAUUAGAUAAUUGAUUAAUAUUACUAAUAGUAAGAAUUAUCCAAAAUCUAAAAAUAUAAUUUAAAAAAGAGAUAAUUUUUGUAUAUAUUGUAUUGUUAUCUGAAAAAGUCUUUUAGUAAAAAGCUAAAAACAUAAAUUAAAUAACUAAAUAUUAAUUAAAUAAAAUUCUUAAUUAUAUAAUUAAAAAUAGAAUAUUGAAAUCCAAAAUCUAAAAAAAUAAUUAAAAAAUAAUUUAUAUAUAUAUAUUGUAUUUUUAUCUAAAAAAAUAUUUUAGUAAAACGUUAAAAACAUAAAUUAUAUAGUUAAAUAUUAAUCAAAUAAUUUUUUUAAUUAUAUAAUUAAAAAUAUAAUAUUGAGUUAUUUUAAGAUUUAUUUUAGUAAUGAAUAUAGUGUACAAAGAACUUUUCAAAAAUUUAUGAAAAUGUUUAAGUCCGCGUCGCGGGCAAAACACUUAGUUAUUUAUAUAUGACAAAUAUUUUUAUUUAUAUAAAUGCUUUUUUUAUUAAUAUUUAAUUAUAAAUAAUUUCAUAUCUAAAUUUUCAAUUUUUAUAAUAGAAAAAUAUUAUUUCAAGAUAACAAUACAAUAUAUAAGAUAACAACACAAUAUAAUAAGAAUUAUCUUAUUAUAAUAUAUACAGAAAUUUUCUUUUUAUAUGAUAAUUUCUUAUUUAUAUUUUUCAAAAAUUAAAUAAAACAUCAAAUUAUUUAUAUAUGACAAAUUUUUUAUUUAUACAAAUUCUUUUUUAUUAAUAUUUAAUUAUAAAUAAUUUUAUUUCUUAAUUGUCAAUUUUUAUAAUAGAAAAAUAUUAUUUCAAUAUAACAAUACAAUAUAUAAGAUAACAACACAAUAUAAUAAGAAUUAUCUUAUUAUAAUAUAUACAGAAAUUAUCGUUUUAUUUUUAAAUGUAUUUUUAGAUUUUGGAUAAUUCUUAGUUUUAAUCACUUAUAUUAUUAAAAAAUCAAAUUUGUUUUUAUUUUUUAUUAAUUUAUAUAUUUAAUUUAUUAAGGGUAUAAUUGAUAUUAACCACUCUAACUUUUAACGUGAGAGCUCCGUUGCAAAAAUUUACUUCGUAAAUAAUAGUAUAGAUAACUGGGCACUUGUUUAGAGUGAGACUUUAUACCAAUAUUUGUUCAUUAAAUGGUUUUAACAUUUUGCAACACUGCAAUUUUUAUUGACUAUAAAAUGACUAAUACAAAUGUUAGUUUCUUAAAUGUAUUAUUGUUGUUAAAGAGUAUAUUUUAAUUAUUUUUAAAAUUUAUUAUAUGCACAAAAAAAAUUAAGUUUUGCGGUUAACACAUAUCACCAAACCCAAUCGAUUGUAAAAUCAUGAAAGAGGAUUAGGUUUGCCGCUCUUGAUUUGCUUAAAGAUUAAAACGACGAAUGAUUAAAUACUUAAGAAUCAUAAAUGUGAUGUAUAAUUAAUUAUGAGAACCAAGAUGCAAAUAAAAAAUGAAACUUUAAAUUUAGAGUUUUGAGUAGAUUUGAAGUUUUAUUUCUUAGAACUUUGAAUUUGAAGUUUUGAAGUUUAUUUUAGAAUAGCAAAAAAUUCUAUAUUUGAAGUUAUAGAGUUUUUUUUUUGAGAUGCUCUAAGCAAAAAAAAAAACUAUAUAUUUUUUCUUCUUAAACAAAAGGGUGUUUCUAAUUUUCCAUAAAUGCCCAUAAGUAAGUAAGUAACCAUGCAAAGUUGAUAAAUGUCUAACUUAUAUUUUAAAAUAUAUAACAUUAGUGUAAAUUAAUCAUAGUUGGAUCUAUAUAUCUAAUAACAUGAUAUUCAUCUUAAUAUUUCCUAUCUCAUAUAUUAAUAGAAUACAUGAACUUGUUGAUGUAAUUUUCAAAUUCAUUUAUUUUCUUUAGAUUAGUGUAGAUUAAUCGUAUUUGGAUUUAUAUUUAAUAAAAUAAAACCUAACUUAACAUUUCAUAUCAAAUUUAUUAAUAGAGUACAUGAACUUGUUGAUGCAGUUUUCAAAUUCAUAUAUUUUCCUAUGAUUAUUUAGCUAAUUUUUAAAAAUAAAUUUCUCCUUUUCCUACUAGAGAAGAAUGAAUAAAAAAACAAAACAAAGUCUUUAAAUAAAAGGAAAGAUAUAAAAGGUUCUAGAGUGUUCGGCUGUCCCUACAAAGACCUGAACACAAACUCUUCUUCGAACAACUCAGCCACACAAACAAAACUCCAUCAAAAGCCUCUCCUCCCACCACUUUCCUUUAGGGUUUUCUUAAACAACGUAGACAAGAUGUUCAGAAGAGGACCUCCGAGUAAGAGCGACAACACCAAGUUCUACGAGAUCCUCGGCGUCCCCAAGACCGCUUCACCUGAAGAUCUCAAAAAGGCUUACAAGAAAGCCGCCAUCAAAAACCAUCCCGACAAGGGUGGAGAUCCCGAAAAGGUCUGAAUCCUUCGAUCCCCUUUUGUGUAAUUCAAUAAAGUUAGUUCUUUUAUAGUUUGGUUUGGAUUCUCCGACCGGUAGAUGUCGUGUAAGAAGUUGAAUUCUUCGUAAGAUGUCCGAUUCGAUCUGAAAGUUGAGAGCUUUAGGUCAAUUGGUUGACUUUUGUUACAUGUGUAUGCAGUUCAAAGAGCUAGCUCAGGCUUAUGAAGUUCUAAGUGAUCCAGAGAAGCGUGAGAUCUACGAUCAGUAUGGUGAGGAUGCACUCAAAGAGGGAAUGGGUGGUGGAGGCGGUGGGCAUGAUCCGUUUGAUAUCUUCUCGUCCUUCUUUGGUGGUGGUGGUGGUAGCCCAUUCGGUGGUUAGUCCCUUAGAUUCUCUCUUUUCACAGUCUAUUUUGCCUUUGAAUAGAUGAUAAAGGUUUAAUUUUGUCGUUUUUGAUUAGGUGGCAGCAGCCGUGGAAGGAGGCAGAGGCGUGGUGAAGAUGUGGUUCACCCUCUGAAGGUUUCGCUAGAGGAUCUUUAUCUCGGAACAACGAAGAAGCUCUCACUUUCUAGGAAUGCUUUGUGCUCUAAGUGUAACGGGUUAGUUAGUUAGUUCUACUUUUUACUUCUGUUUAAGUGCUUUAUAAGAGUUCUUCACUGACAUUAGUUGCUCUAUGAUGGCAGAAAGGGUUCAAAGUCUGGAGCUUCAUCGACAUGUAGUGGAUGUCAAGGAUCUGGAAUGAAGGUUUCAAUCAGGCAGCUUGGACCGGGAAUGAUUCAGCAGAUGCAGCACCCUUGUCAUGAUUGCAAAGGUACAGGAGAGACCAUCAAUGACCGUGACAGGUGUCCACAGUGCAAAGGAGAUAAGGUUGUCUCUGAGAAGAAGGUGCUUGAAGUAGCUGUGGAAAAGGGAAUGCAGCAUAGUCAGAAGAUCACAUUCAGUGGACAAGCAGAUGAAGCGGUUUGUGAUUACUCAUUAUAUCCCUAGUUUUGAUCAUUACAUUAUUCUCUGCUGACUUUCUAUGUUGAUUUGAAAACAGCCUGAUACAGUCACUGGAGAUAUAGUGUUCGUCAUUCAGCAGAAGGAGCACCCAAAGUUCAAGAGAAAGGGAGAUGAUCUCUUUGUCGAGCACACCCUCUCUCUUACAGAAGCUCUCUGUGGGUUCCAGUUUGUCUUGACUCAUUUGGACAAAAGGCAGCUUCUCAUCAAAUCCAGUCCCGGGGAGGUUGUUAAGCCAGGUACUUGCUUAACUCAUGAUCAUCCCUCUAAUUGUUUUUUGCCUUUCUUCUCCUUACAGUGGUGUGUGUUUGGUUGAUGAUAUAGAUUCAUACAGGGCGAUAACCGAUGAGGGAAUGCCUAUGCACCAGAGGCCGUUCAUGAAGGGCAAGCUUUACAUCCACUUCACGGUCGACUUCCCUGACUCGCUGAGCCCUGACCAGACAAAGGCCAUUGAAGCGGUUUUGCCGAAGCCAAAGGCGGAUCUGAGCGACAUGGAAAUAGACGAAUGCGAGGAGACGACGCUGCACGAAGUGAACAUUGAGGAUGAGAUGAGAAGGAAGGCUCAAGCUCAAAGAGAGGCUUAUGAUGAUGACGAUGAUGAUGAAGAAGGCCCAGGUGGUGCUCAGCGUGUGCAAUGUGCCCAGCAGUGAUAUCAAACAUGCGCACUUGUAGUGAUGAUAUUCAGCAUUUGCG
rnacentral:lncRNA from 1 species